GCUGAGCCAAUUAGUGCUACUUUAGCUGCUGUAAAAGCCACUCAAGAUAAUGUUACAUUGAUCACCUCUUCUUGGACGGUUACGUCGAUGGAGGUUUACACAGUUGGUAGACUACUACUGUUCUCCUUGCACCAAUAUACUUAAGGUUGUUGGGCCAACCACUUGUAUGUGAGCAGAAGCCAGUUGCUCCUGCUGUGAAUGGGGAUAUGUAUACUCAUGUCAUACCUGAGAACUCCGUGAUCUUUUGGCAGAGGGGAUCAAGUAAAUGUGUUGAUUAUUUGGUUGAAGCGUUUGUGCAGAAGCUGAGCCAAUUAGUUCUACUUUAGCUGCUGUAAAAGCCACUCAAGAUAAUAGUGAGAUACUUGUCUCCUUCUACUUUCCCGGUUCGUUCAUAUUUUCGAGGAUAGGUGUUGUAGCCCUUCUCUGCUGGGAGGUACCUUUCAUACACGUUGAGACCCAUCAAUCAGGAAAUUCGGGCUUGGUGCUGGACUUGAAGCGGAGCCUCUGUGUUAUGCUUGGUGCUGCGAGUGGCUUCUCCUACCUGCAUGAGCAUGCGGACUCUCUGAUCUUCCACCGGGACAUCAAAUGAGACAACAUUCUCCUCAAAGAGCUAUUGGCUGGCUGUUAAGGUCGCUGGCUUUGGCCUCUGCAAGCU